rnacentral:misc_RNA from 1 species
GAUGAAGAACGCAGCGAAAUGCGAUAAGUAAUGUGAAUUGCAGAAUUCAGUGAAUCAUCGAAUCUUUGAACGCACAUUGCGCCCGUCAGUAUUCUGGCGGGCAUGCCUGUUCGAGCGUCAUUACGCCCCUCAAGUCCCCUGUGGACUUGGUGUUGGGGAUCGGCGAGGCUGGUUUUCCAGCACAGCCGUCCCUUAAAUUAAUUGGCGGUCUCGCCGUGGCCCUCCUCUGCGCAGUAGUAAAACACUCGCAACAGGAGCCCGGCGCGGUCCACUGCCGUAAAACCCCCCAACUUUUUACAGUUGACCUCGAAUCAGGUAGGACUACCCGCUGAACUUAAGCAUAUCAAUAAGCGGAGGA